ACUAAAGGUAGAGUUACUAGUUAGUGUUUUUGUGUAUAUGUGUGUGUGUGUGUGUGUCAUGGAGGAGUGAACUGUGCCUGUCCUUGUGGGUGUAUGACGAACCAGGCUGUUGCCACGGUGACGGUGGUGGUGGGCAUGAUACAGAUGCGGGAGCUGGAGUUUGUGCCCGAUAGAGACAUGCAGCUGGACAAAUUGUGUUGGUCAUUGGUCAGACUGGAGUUUACAUGUGUACCUCCUUCACCAUCAUUGGUGGACACUUCACCAUGAGUGAUGCUUGAGCUGUCACGGUGCUGCUGCUGCUGUCUGCCAUCAUCCCCCUGACACAGACCACCCUGCAGACCACCUUCAUCCUGGGUGCCACACGUCACUGCUGCUACAACUCAGAGCAACUGGAGCGCAAGCCAGGAAGGGAGAUGGUGGUCCAAUGUGCCAAGCUUCUCGGAGUCACGGUGGACGACCAGCUGACCUGGAAGCAGCAUGUCGCCAACACCGUGAGAUCAGCUACCUACAGGCUGUACAUGCUGCGCAGACUCAGGUCGCUGGGGACGCCGACAGAUGAGUUAAGGGGGGUGUACCUUGCCUUCAUCCUCCCCAAACUCAUGUACGCCUCCCCAGCGUGGUCCUCCUCCCUCACACACACUCAACAGAUACAGCUAGAGAGUGUGCAGAAAAGGGCGUGCAGGGUCAUCCUUGGCCCUGCAUACACCACCUAUGAAGAAGCCCUGACCACCCUGAGUCUGUCCAGAAUAUCCACCAGGCACCGAGAGGCUCUGGAGAAGUUUGGGAGGGGACUACUGCAUCAUCCGCGUCUCAGAAACAUGCUGCCGCCUGACGCGCCUCGCCCGGUCCGUACCACCAGACACCACAACAGAAUAACGCCCCUGAAGGCGCCGCACACGGACCGGUACAGACUCAGUGCGAUUCCCACCAUGGUGCGAGCCAUCAAUCAAUAGUAUUUCCCUCCUAGAUUAGACUUACCUUUAGGAUUAAUGUUAAGUUUUUCCCC